GCUCACCACUUUGUGGUUCAUGACUGGGGUGAAGUCGUAACAAGGUAGCGCUAGGGGAACCUGGCGCUGGAUCACCUCCUUA
rnacentral:ncRNA from 1 species